rfam:Chlamydiae bacterium RIFCSPHIGHO2_01_FTLL_44_39 rifcsphigho2_01_scaffold_699, whole genome shotgun sequence.
GGCGGUAUAGCUCAGUUGGUUAGAGCAGCGGAAUCAUAAUCCGCGUGUCGCUGGUUCGAAUCCGGCUACCGUCA